GUGGGUGUGUUGUAAAUGGAAGCCUGCUUGUCUACCAAACCAGCGGAGCGGGUUCAAGUCCCGUCACCUACA
rnacentral:tRNA from 1 species